AACCUAAAAGGACCUGCUGGGUCCAUUUGAAUAAAUCUUUCCCUGAAAAGACUCAACAACAACUAAAUGAAUGCUGGGGAAAAUAUGACAGUUAUAGCAAACACAGAUCAAACACGGAGUGAAACCCUGUCCGGGAAGUUGCACUUUGUGAAGGUGAAAAUUCCGCAAGCCGUUCUCCGGAGAGGGAGUGAUCCGCUCUCUCCUCUUCAAAGUGCCAGAAGUGACUCCCAGCACCCAGUUGGAUGUCUCCUUCACCCCGACCUUCCAGCGUCUGCCUGUAGUUAGGCCCUUUGAAAAAACAGUGUUUUCUGUGAACCGCGCUGGGCUAGUCGGAACUUUCUGUUUAUUUGGAGAUUUCUUUCCAAUCAGGUAUAAUUACUGACUGUAUUUUCUGUUGUGUUUUAAUUUAAAAAAAAAAAAAAAAACAUG